UGAGUUUGAUCCUGGCUCAGGACGAACGCUGGCGGCGUGCUUAACACAUGCAAGUCGAACGAUGACGACUGUGCUUGCACGGUCUGAUUAGUGGCGAACGGGUGAGUAACACGUGAGUAACCUGCCCCCCUCUUCGGGAUAACCUCGGGAAAUCGUGGCUAAUACCGGAUAUGAGCACUCAUCGCAUGGUGGGUGUUGGAAAGAUUUAUCGGUGGGGGAUGGACUCGCGGCCUAUCAGUUUGUUGGUGAGGUAAUGGCUCACCAAGGCGAUGACGGGUAGCCGGCCUGAGAGGGCGACCGGCCACACUGGGACUGAGACACGGCCCAGACUCCUACGGGAGGCAGCAGUGGGGAAUAUUGCACAAUGGGCGAAAGCCUGAUGCAGCGACGCCGCGUGGGGGAUGACGGCCUUCGGGUUGUAAACCUCUUUCAGUAGGGAAGAAGCGAAAGUGACGGUACCUGCAGAAGAAGCGCCGGCUAACUACGUGCCAGCAGCCGCGGUAAUACGUAGGGCGCAAGCGUUGUCCGGAAUUAUUGGGCGUAAAGAGCUUGUAGGUGGCUUGUCGCGUCUGCCGUGAAAACCCGAGGCUCAACCUCGGGCGUGCGGUGGGUACGGGCAGGCUAGAGUGUGGUAGGGGAGACUGGAACUCCUGGUGUAGCGGUGAAAUGCGCAGAUAUCAGGAAGAACACCGAUGGCGAAGGCAGGUCUCUGGGCCAUUACUGACACUGAGAAGCGAAAGCAUGGGUAGCGAACAGGAUUAGAUACCCUGGUAGUCCAUGCCGUAAACGUUGGGCACUAGGUGUGGGGGACAUUCCACGUUCUCCGCGCCGUAGCUAACGCAUUAAGUGCCCCGCCUGGGGAGUACGGCCGCAAGGCUAAAACUCAAAGGAAUUGACGGGGGCCCGCACAAGCGGCGGAGCAUGCUGAUUAAUUCGAUGCAACGCGAAGAACCUUACA
rnacentral:rRNA from 1 species